GGGGAAUUUUACGCAAUGGGGGAAACCCUGACGUAGCGACACCGCGUGAGCGAAGAAGCCCUUUGGGGUGUAAAGCUCUGUCAGCUGGAACGAAAAAAAUGACGGUACCAGCAGAGGAAGCAUCGGCUAACUACGUGCCAGCAGCCGCGGUAAGACGUAGGAUGCAAGCGUUGUCCGGAUUUAUUGGGCGUAAAGAGUUCGUAGGUGGUUUGUUAAGUCUGGCGUUAAAUAACAGGGCUCAACCCUGAGAAUGCGUUGGAUACUAGCAGACUUGAGUAUGGUAGAGGCUAGUGGAAUUCCCAGUGUAGCGGUGAAAUGCGUAGAUAUUGGGAAGAACACCGGUGGCGUAGGCGACUAGCUGGGCCAUAACUGACACUGAGGAACGAAAGCCAGGGUAGCGAAUGGGA
rnacentral:rRNA from 1 species